UACGUAGGGGGCAAGCGUUGUCCGGAUUUACUGGGCGUAAAGGGCGCGUAGGCGGCCUCCGCAAGUCAGUUGUGAAAUCUCCGAGCUUAACUCGGAAAGGUCAACUGAUACUGCGGGGCUAGAGUGCGGAAGGGGCAACUGGAAUUCUUGGUGUAGCGGUGAAAUGCGUAGAUAUCAGGAGGAACACCGGUGGCGAAGGCGGGUCUCUGGGCCGAAACUGACGCUGAGGAGCGAAAGCGUGGGGAGCGAACAGG
rnacentral:rRNA from 1 species